rnacentral:sRNA from 1 species
AUGAGCAUGGUUUCGGGUGUGAUAUCACGCCAAGUAUUGCCGGCAUGCGGUAGUCUCUGUUUCUUUUGCCCCGCCAUGAGGGCUAGGUCUAGACAGCCUGUCAAGAGGUACAAGAAGCUUAUCGCUGAUAUUUUCCCUCGUUUUCAGGUCUUUCUCCUUCUCCUUCUCCUUCUUCUUUAAUUUUGUUACUUACACUACUGCUACUACUUAUCAUAUAUCAUGCCUCAGCAAAACAUCUACAAUUUGCUUCUUUCUGUUUUUAUUAAUAAAUCAAUACUCUGUUUCUAUCAUAACGUUUUUGGUACACUAUAAUAUAAUAAUCAUGCUUCACGUGUAGCUCAAUUAAAGUUGCCAGCACCAGUAUUGUUUCUCUUUCAUAAUUGACUGUUCAAUCUUUUCCUUGUGUUAAGUAUUAAGAUUUGUUCCUUAUAUUUUGAUAGGAGGAAGGACCAAAUGACCGGAAAAUAGGAAAGCUUUGUGAAUAUGCUGCUAAAAAUCCAUUGCGUAUCCCAAAGGUAGAAUUGGUUUGUGCAAAGCGUUAUAUCUAAUAGCGUGUUGAUAUUCACUGUUGUCAAAAUCUGCAAGUACAAAUUAGCGUUAUUAUCUAAUAGUCGUUGAAAUGGUUCUCCAAGAGUUGUCUCCCAUGGAGAUGGCAAAUUCGGAUCUUACAUGCUAAACAUUCUUAUCUUUGUUCAUGGAAAUAAUAUUUGUAAGCUUUGUUCCCACUGUUGUGCUCUCUCAAUAUCUUGAUUUGAUAACUCUCCUAGGAACUUCAUCAUACACAAACUCUCUAGAAAGUAAAGCUUGGUUGAAGGUGAAGUGUAAAAAUAUUAAAGAAAUUGAGCAUGAAAGAUAAUGAGAUUCCCUCACCCACAUGAAAAAUAAGUCACAGAACUUUCAAAACCAAGAAUUAAAUGUUUGAUAAUUGAAAACAAGGAUCCUGGUGUUCAACAAACUUCAUAGAAUUGUACGGUCUAUGGUCAUUAGACUACAAACUGAUGGUGCAAAAUGGGUUAAAUCUGCACUAAACUAACCAAGAAUUGGCCAUAUUUGGCUGAGCUAUUGAUAAUUCAGGAUCAUUUUUGGAUACUUUGUACUAUGGAAGGUUGAGCCAAACCCAAAUUUAUGUGAGAUCCCUUCAAUAUGAUCAAAUUACAUCAAGAAGCCAAUUAACACAUGAUAGCUUGCAUUUUAAUGAUAACUUUGUUGUUUUAUUGACAUUAAACAUGCAUUAUGCAUACCUGAUACGUGUCAAACCAGAAGAAAGAGUGGAGUUGAAACAUAAAAAAGAGAUUUGCUAUGAGUACACACCAAAAGCACCUAUGUUCCGCUUGCAACCAUUACAACCACAGCCUAACUAGUGGAAGUCCCAAGGGGGUGGCAUCCUCCUUAACUUGGCAUCCCUGGCCAAAGAGAGAAAUGACUUAAACCUGUGCUGGGGCUGUAAAUUGUGAAUCACCGUGCACAGGCUUUUGCACCUUGCUCUUAUAUGCAACUAGCUUUGAUUUGGGAGUAAGCUGGAAGUAAAGUAGUAUUAGUUGAAGUGAAUGGCGCUAAUGAGUAAUAAUAAGUAGAGUUAUAAGUAGAGUGGAACACUGUUGGCUGAGAGGUUGGUGAACUACUAUGAUCUUUAGAUUCCCCACCUAUUUCCAAUCCCAACAAGAAUAGUAGUGAGUUGCUUCCGGCUUGGCUUGUAGUCAAAGUGGAACUCCAAUCGCCACAACAAAGCAUUGUGGCACUUCUUCUGUAUGAGUGGUGACAGCUCUAUAGAUCGACAACGAAGUCUAAGACCAAAGUAUUGACUUGAUCCCAUCGGGCACAUAAGUGGCCAGGAAAGGACAGCUUCAGUUUACUGGUGUAUUUACUUAGAAGUGAAUUUGAUAGUUGUUGAGGUCUCUGACACCAUGUUAGGAAACCAAUUGCAAACAAGAAGGCUUAUCCAUUCUAAUAAGGGAGAGCUUCGGGUAUUGAUUAUAGCCUUACAGAUAAAAGACAUUAUAAAGUUUGGUCAUGUUACAUCAGAAUGAGAUAAAUGUGACCGGACUAAUAAUGAGUUGGAGAUUUGGUAUAAGGUUGGUAGAAAUUAUUUCAUAUCGGUUUCUUCAUAUUGCCUUACUGUGAGACCAUUCAACUGGUUAAAUCCUCGUAUUAUUCUCCCAAUUCUCUCCAUUGUUGCCAUUGGUGAUUCAAUAUAGUGCACCAAUGUGUGAGGAAUUUCAUAUUGCCAAUGGCCUCUGGUCAAUUGGCACAUCUGGUGAGUGAGGUCUUGGUUCAAGUCCCGUUGAGUGCAUGAGUUACUUACCAGUUGAAAAAACUUUACUGUUAGGUUUUUUAUGUUAUUAUAUUCCAAAAUUUAAUCUAGAAGAUAUGUAAGCAAUAUGCAAGAAAGUUCUGAUUCAUAGUUUAUGCAUCACUUCAAUUGUUUUAUUGGCAAUUCUCUAUUCUUACAAUUUUUAUAUUUUAUAUUUUGUAGAAACCAUAUGUUAUCAAUUACUUGAGAUUUACUGCUUUUUUGAUGAAAGUUGCAAUUAUGGUGAUCAGAUUACAAAGUCUCUUGAGCAAAGGUGUUACAAGGAAUUGAGAAAUGAGAAUUUUCAAUCUGCAAAAAUUGUCAUGUGCAUUUACAGGAAGUUAUUAAUUUAUUGUAAGGAGCAAAUGUGAGUUUAUCCUUCUUCCAUGCUUUAUAAUUUUGUUUAUGUGUUUUGAAACAGGAAGUUAUAUUGGCCCGCUUUAGUUGGAAGAAAUUUAUAAAUUGAAGUCUUAACUUUUGGAAGCUACAAGACCACCUUAAAAGUCUACUAACCCUAGGUUGACAAUUUCACAGGCCUCUGUUUGCGAGUAGCUUACUAAGCAUUAUCCACACUCUGCUGGAUCAAAUACGGCAAGAUGAAAUGCAAAUUAUAGGAUGCCAAACACUUUUUGACUUUGUAAAUAAUCAGGUCGGUUCCCUGGGUGGUGCUUUAGUUAUGAUCUUUAAAAUGUAUUCUUCAAAUGCAGGAUAUUCAGCUUCAGUUGUAAUUCAUUUCCAGCUCUUCCUUUUUCUCCCUACAGAAACUUCAAACUGAUUUCAUUGUAUUGAAUUUGGCAGAGUGAUGGAAUGUAUAUGUUUAACUUAGAAGCCUUUCUUCCAAAACUGUGUCAAUUAGCUCAAGAAGUGGGGGAGGAUGAAAGGGCACAAAGUCUACGUUCAGCUGGGCUCCAAGCCCUUUCUUCAAUGGUACUUUAUUCAUCAUGCUGCUAUUGUACUUUUAGAUUCACAGCUAUAAAUCACCCUUUGUUUGGUCAUUGAAGAUCUUGAAUCUUACACCUUUAAAAAAAAAAAAAAAAUUAUUUGAAGGUGGGUGGGAGAGAAUUUCAAAUAACAAAGAUCUAAGAUUUGAACUUUUAUUUUCUAUUUUAUCAAUGUCUAAGCUAAAAAAGGCUGUAAUUCUGAACUUAUGUUGUUUCUGCAUCACUAAUGAUGCUUGGAUUCAAAUUAUUGUUGUGUGCAAAGUCGUUUUGAUGUGAUGGUUGUUCAUGGCCUGAAAGCUAGCUUUGACGAGGCUAGAAGAAUAAUAUGAAUGUCUUCAAUUUUUUUAAAAAAAUUAUGUAAAUUUUGUGAUCAAUCCUAACUAUUUGAUUAGACAAAAAGGAUAUGUCUACGGUAGCCCCUGUUGACUUAGGCUAACCCUAGUAAAGGAAUGUUAGGUUCUUCAACUUGGUCAACACUUAGUCUCUUAGUCUUGGUGAGAUUGGUUUGAGCAAAUAGUUGGUUUUUAGGGGAGCACUCUAAUUUGGAGAUCAGACAGGUAGCCCUUGCAUUGGGAUUUUUCUGAGUGCAGAGUGGGUUCAUUAUGGAUAUGCAUUCAAGUAUUGAUCUACCCCUACAGAGGUGAGUUGUGAUGUAAGCCUGUAAGGUUGGCCAUUGAGUUUUGUUUUCAAGAUAACAUUCUUUGCAUUGCUUGAAAUAUGAGGAUCUAGGGUGAUACCUUGAGAAUGUAUCUCAAAAUUAGUUAGAUGUGUGACUGGGCAUACUACAGAUACCUUGUCACUGCUGUGGCUGGUGGUGGAAUUUGAGGAUCAUGGCACAUGUCACUCCUGAUGGCCUCCAGGUGUUAGGGAAUGUUGCAUAUGGAAUGGGUCAAUAGCUCAAAAAUAUUAGGACAUGAGUUCAAGUUGGUGUAAAGCUGGCCUUGGUUUAGGCAGGAAUAGAAGGUUGCUGGAUGUUCAUAAUUUUGCCUUAUGCUUAGUACAAGUUUGGAUGGUUGCAAUCUUCUUUCUGGAUAUGCCUUGACGUGUUCUGAUAAGUCCAAUUAGGAGAAGAAAAAUAAAGAGGGCAUAAUUAUUGAAUUGACUUCACUAAUGUUUCAUUUCUUUGUUUUCUUCUUGCAAAGUUGGGAAAAAGUGCACUUGUGCUCAACUCAUGCUUAUUCUCAAUUUUUGCUGCAAAGCAUUAUUAUGCCGUGACGUAUGCAAAAUUGAUUCUUUCAUGUCUCUUCGUUUCAUCAUGCAACAACAACCUAACCUUAGUCCCAAAAUUUUGCGGUAUCUUUGUUUCAUCAUAAUUAUUGAAUUGACUUCACUGAUGUUUCAUUUCUUUGUUUUCUUCUUGCCUAAAGAUUGGAUCCCUAUGUAUAAUUUUCCUUAAGAAUAUGUUGAAAUCAUUGCAGAAAUACCCAUAUCUUCUGUUUUAAUUUUUUUUUGCCCUUUAUAAAGCUAUGUAUUCUCCCUUGUUAGCAUCCCACAUACAAUAUUUUAAUGGGAUUGGAUUAUCUAUUUUUCUUUGUAGGUUUGGUUUAUGGGCGAAUACUCUCACAUUUCAGUCGAGUUCGAUAAUGUAAGGAGAUUCAGACUUAAGCAAAUCUUAAUCCAAGUUUAUCUACUUCUUUUGUUGAACUGCACAGAGCAGCUUCUUGGUUAUAAAUAUAUUCUGUGUUUAACGUGCAUACACAGCAGAGCAUUUAAUGUAGAAUAUAUAUACACUCACAAUCAUUCUGUUUUUCACUGGGAAUCUGCUACAUGACUGGUGCACUUAAUUGUGUCUGAAAUAAGAGUUCAACUUUGGAAAAAUCUUAUGAACCUCUACCUGACAUCUAUGCCUUUGUGUCCUAGUUCUGUUUUGUAGCCUGUUAUAUACUGAAAUUAUUGAGCUAUUGUGGUUUGUUGUAUCCGCUAUAAAAAAAAUUUGCAGCUUUUAUAGGACUCUAUAGGGUUUUAUGUAUACACUUAACUGUGAUUAUUCUGGAAGAAUUAUUCUACCACAAUUAAGAUUGUUAAAUUUAUCGUUCUCUAAUUUCUCAAUUACUUUAAUAAGUAAUAACUAUCACAUACUUUAUCAUUUAGCUCCGGAUUUACAGGUUGAAAAAUAUAGGUGUGUCACUGAUAUUGGAGGGUCUAGAACAGUUUAGCUCACUAUUUCUUUAUAUCUUAUUGACAUUGCAUGUAAAUUUGUACAAGUGAAGCAGCUCUUGUUCAUUACCAUUUCAUUACAUAAUGCUAUUUGAUAACCUAUGUGGUCCUUUGACAUUUUUGUUCUUUUGAUAUUCAACAAAACAGGUUGUUUCAGUGGUCUUGGAAAACUAUGGAGGUCCUAAUAAAGAGUCAGAGAACAUGGACCAUGACAAGCAAGGUCCCCAGAAUCGUUGGGUGCAAGAAGUCCUAAAAAAUGAGGGUCAUGUCUCUCAUUCACCAGAUAUCAUAAUUAGGGUUCCUUCUUGGGGAACAAUUGCGAAUGAAAAAGGCGAAAUACAUAUGUCAGUAUAAUAUCUGUUGGCACCAAAUACUGCAAAUGCUUCAUAGGAUUUUUAUUUUUAAUUCUUCAACUGUCAAUGACUUGUCCUAGUUUUCUUCCACAGAGAAGAUGCCAAGAAUCCUUGCUUUUGGUCCAGGGUCUGCCUGCAUAACAUGGCCAAGCUAGCCAAGGAGGCUACAACAAUGCGGCGUGUUCUAGAAUCUUUGUUCCGUUACUUUGACAGUGAGAAUUUAUGGUCCCCUGAACAUGGUCUUGCCUUGCCAGUCCUAAAGGAUAUGCAGUUUUUAAUGGAUAAUUCUGGUAUUUAUAACUCAACUCAUUUAGGAUUUUGAGGUUCUUUACUGUUGUUUUUAAACAUUAAUGCUGUUGCCCUACCCUUCAAUUUCAGUUUUACUUUGAUGAUUAACAGCUCCUGCAUUUUUCUUCUUUACCUCUUGCAGGGCAAAAUACACAUUUCUUGCUUUCCAUUUUAAUUAAGCAUCUUGAUCAUAAAAAUGUCCUUAAACAACCCAAAACACAGCUUGACAUUGUUCAGGUUACCUCCUCCCUUGCUCAAGAUGCAAAGGUCAACCCUUCUGUAGCAAUGAUUGGUGCAUUAAGUGAUGUCAUGAGGCAUUUGCGGAAGAGCAUACAUUGUUCACUUGAUGAUGCGAAUCUUGGAGCUGACAUCAUAAAUUGGAAUAGAAGCUUCAGGGAAGUGGUGGAUGACUGCCUUGUACAGUUAUCACAUAAGGUGGUAAUUAUAUUCCACAGCUCCUAAAUCAAUUUAAUAUCCAAAAUUUUAUGGUCUAGAACUACUUCUUGAUGCUUGUUAUUGGUUUUUUUCACUUUUCAAAUACUUAAUGAGCUUGUGUAAUAUUUCAAUUUUACAUAUUCUACUGCUUCAAAGCAUGGAUACUUUAAACUAGCACCAUAUCUAAAUUUAAGCUGAUACAGAUACUCUCGGAUACCAUAGGAUUCAUCUUUAUUUCUUUAUUUAUUUCUUUUUUCCUUUCCCUCUUUCUCGCUCACUUUUUUCAAUGAAACUAAUAGCUGCUUAACUAUUUUUAUUAUUUAGAGAUAUCUUUUAUACAAUGAAACUAAUAUAUUUAUUCUUUAGUCAUAUUUUACGAUGUUAGUAUUUGGUGUUUAUUUUUUUAUACUAUAAAAUACUAUAACAUGUACUUUAAAAUGUUGAUUUAUAUGUUAAUUGAUUGAAGUAUCCAGGCUAUAUCAUAUCCUAAAAUUUUCAAGAAUUGACAUAUCCAGAUGUGUUUAUUGUAUUAUAUACAUAUCCUUUGUUGGUGAUUCCUAAUUCUGCUGACAUUGACUCUCAUUAGUCAUACUUGAAUUUUCAAAUAAAACUGAGUUGCAAUUGGCCCACAGAUUGGUGACGCAGGCCCAAUUCUUGAUAAUAUGGCUGUGAUGUUAGAGAACAUCCCAACUAUUACAGUUAUAGCCAGAACUACUAUUUCAGCUGUUUACCGUACUGCUCAAAUUGUAGCCUCCUUACCCAAUUUGUCAUAUCAAAAUAAGGCAAGACGAUGCACCUAUUUUUCUAUUGGUUUUUCAUCCUCAACUACUUUUUAGCUUUAGAUAUAAUUCUGCAUUUAAAAUUUUUUUUCUUUCUGUAGGCUUUCCCUGAGGCUUUGUUUCACCAAUUACUCCCAGCUAUGGUCCAUCCAGACCAUGAAACACGAGUUGGUGCACAUCGAAUCUUUUCUGUUGUUCUUGUGCCAUCUUCGGUUUGCCCUCGUCCAUCCUCAUCUAUUCCACGGACGCUUUCAAGAACCGUCUCUGUCUUUUCUUCUUCAGCUGCCCUUUUUGAGAAGCUAAGGAAGGACACGUUUUUGUCAAAGGAAAAUGUUUUUCAGGACAACAAAGAAAAUGGUGUUUGUGAGGAGGAACCAAGAAAUCUUAAUAAUGAUAUGCUGAAUAGAUUGAAAUCAUCCUACAGUCGAGUAUAUAGUAUGAAAAGCCCCCUUGUGUCUAUGACAACCGAUGGAAAUGCUGUGAUCAAGUCAAAUAAAGAAAUGGUAAGUUUUUGGAAAUGUCUUUACCAUCUCAGGUAUCCAUAUCCAUUACAUCAUAGGGCUUGCUCAUUAAGGCAUGGCCUGGUUACCCCACCCAGUCAUAGAGUCAUAGUGUAGUUGUUGCUCCUAAGGGUGACUUGUACUUUAUGUUGGUGUUGGAUGUCACUGUGCACAUAGAAGUAGAGGGUAGUCUCCUUAAAUACAUUAUAUUUAAAAUCUGUAGUACUGAUUCAAUUGCUAUCUUAAGUUAUAUAUUUAUUGGCCUAGGAAUCAGUUCAGAGCCAAAAGUUUGGCUGGAAUAGGGGCCUAGGCUUUAUAUAUUUGCUAUCAGGGUUACUGGGAUUGGAUAGGAAUGCAACAAAUUGCUGGCCGUAAUCUAUAUCAAGCCUCUCUAUAAUUUAUAUGUCGAAUUUCAUGCUGUCAGUUAUCAGUUGUUAAAAAAUGGUCUUACUUUGAUGUACCAUCAAAUCCAAUGUGACUGUUUUUUUUAUGAAUAUUAAACUUCAGGAGGUUAAUUCCCUGAGGCUCAGCAGCCACCAGAUUACUCUGUUGCUUUCAUCAAUUUGGGCUCAGUCCAUCUCUCCUGCAAAUUCUCCUGAUAACUAUGAAGCAAUUUCUCAUACAUACGGUCUUGUAGUGCUGUUCUCUUGUGCCAAGGUAAUUGCUCAAAUAAUGUUAAAUAGAGUUUAGCUUUUCUUCUAUAUAAACUGAUGCUGCUAUUUUUGGUCAGGUUCUUUUCUUUUGAUAAUAAUCCUUGUUAUUAGCAUUUUUGCGCUGUACUUUUGAAAGUGCUUCAUGUGUUUCUAUGUCCCCCAGAAGUCAGAACCAGUGGAUACUAAUAAUUAUUGUCAUGUUAAUCAAAGAAGCCAUCUGAAGCAUAUCUACAAGUAGGAUAUGAAUUUUAUAGGGGUAUUUGGUCAUAACACUGUUUUGUAAUUUCAAGAAGCAGUUUUGGGUAUGUUCAUGUCACUUUUGGGUUGUUUAGAUAUGAUAUUAAUGCCAUGUUUUUGGAGUAUAAUUUAUUAUCAGGCCAAUUAGUCUUCAUAAACUCCUAACUGUGCCUAGGAACCUCAAAACACUUGUGAGAGUGGCUUUAAUCUUUUCUAGAGUAUGUUAGUCCAGAAGAAUGAUAGUAAAGCUUUCCAUAUCUACAAUUAGUUUUGAAAGAGGGCAGGUCAUUUACUUGAAUUUUGUGAAGAUUCUGGAGUGUGAAAUUUUUUUUUUUAUUUCUUUUUAUUUUUUUUAUAUAUAUUUAUUUUUUGCUUAGCAAAAUACUUGAUUAGUUUGAAUUUCUCUGCUAAACCUUACUUGGGCUUUAUUUAUUAUUUGUUCUUCUGGAAAGCUUGUUUCAUCUUUUAUAGAUGGUGUUAACAGCAAUUUGGAUGAACUGCGAUUUAAACUUUCAAAUGAUGCCUGCAACUUACUAGGUUUCCAUGGGGUGCAAAUAGAGGACAUUGCUACUAAAUACAUAUACGCUGAGCCUUAAAUAGUUACUUACACAAUGAACUAGUUCUUUGGAUGGGUUCUAGACACAUAAAUUAGAAUGGUAUUUGUAAUCAUAUAUUCUACUUAUCAGAAAUGACUUUGGAGGAACCUCCAAUGUUUUUCUUUGCCACAUUAAGAUGUUUCUUUUUCUUUUUUGGAGGGGUUAGGAGGUUAGAGGGGUUGUACCCUAGAGAUGAUAGGAGUUGUAAAGUGACUGAAGGAUCAUUGGCAAGGAACUUCCUGUGUUUUUUACAUUAAUUAUGUAUUAAGUUUUAAUGAGCUUUAUUGUUCCAUUCUAUUAUGGUUUAUCAUGUCUUGCAGAAUUCCAGUAAUGAGGUUCUGGUUCGAAGUUUUCAGUUAGCAUUUACACUGCGAGACAUUUCUCUUAAUGAAAAAGGUCAGCUCUUGAAUUUGUUAUUCUACUUUCAAUCCCAUAUGUCUAGAUGGACUAGGUUUGAAUUUUCUAUCCUACAGUGGAUAAGCAUGUAUUGCAUGUUCUAGUUACAGCUUGCACUGGUUACAUAACAUGGGGAGAGUAGAGUAAGAAGCUACAACAAUGCCAUUGGUAGGCAUAGAUAUACAGGCUUUAGAAUGUUUAACUAUUAAGAACUGAUUGGACUUUUUAAUUCUCUUUUGACAAAGUGAUUAGAUUCGGGUAUAAUUAGCUUGUGGUUUAUUCAUUUUUCACUUUUUUUAGUCAAUUACACGCAUACUCAUGAAGCAAAGAAUGAACAAGCUAGAUCUUGCAUUUAUUGGAUCUCAACUCUUUAGCUAAAACCAUAUCUCACUUCUAUUGCAGGGUCACUGCCACCUUCAUGUCGCAGAUCCCUCUUUACCUUGGCAACUUCAAUGAUUCUUUUUUCUUCAAAAGCAUACAAUAUUCUUCCUCUUGUUUAUAGGGCCAAGACAGCACUUACAGAUAAAAUGGUAGGUAUGAGUCAUCGCUGUUGAAGCUGUAAUCAUUGGUUAACAUUGUUAUUCAUUUACUUAGCAAUAGCAGGCCUAAAAGUUCCAAUAUUUUUUCCAAGGACUAGAUACAUUUAACUUGUUCAUGUGACUAAUUGUUAAAGUGAUGAAUAUCAAGCACAUGGGUUGUGGUGAUUAAAAACCUCUCAAGUCAAAUUUCUUAAUGUUUGCCUUAAAUCGUGCUGGACUCAGGUUGAUCCAUUCCUAUGUUUGGUGGAGGAUUGUAAGCUACAGGCUGUUAAAACUGGAUCUCACCGUCCUGCAAACGUUUAUGGAUCCAAAGAAGAUAAUAAUUCAGCUUCAAAAUCUCUUUCAGAAAUAGAUAUCACUGAAGACCAAACUAGGGAGUCCUUUGCUUCUGAGAUUGUAAAGAGCUUGGAAAAUUUAUCAGAAGUAAAGCGUUUAUAUAAAUUUUACACAUCUUAGACUGCCUUGAAUGAAUAACUUGUUUAUAUUGUUAUCUUCUAUUAUAAUAAUUUUUGGCAUUUUUUGCAGUCUGAGUUGUCCGCUAUAAGGGAGCAGCUACUCCAUGAAUUUUUACCUGAGGAUGUGUGUCCACUAGGAAGCCAGUUGUUCGUGGGUAGUCCACAUAAAAUAUGUCAGGUUGAUUGGAAGAAUGGUGAAUCUGUUAAGGAGGUAAUGACUUCAAGUUAUGUCCAUUAAUGCUUGGACUUGCAUGACUUUGUUGUUGUCUUUCAGGUUGGUCCAAUUUUUUCAAUGGACGAUGAUUUGUUGGCAGAUUCAUUUGAAAGUCAAACCAAACAUAAUUCAGAGUUGGCGACAGAAAUUCCCUAUCUUUUGAGUGUCAAUCAAUUUCUAGAAUCAGUAUGUUAGCCAUUUCAUGCUUUAUAGAGUACCAAUGUAAGGGAUAUUCAGAUUGAGAAUUGGUUUCUUACAACAUAAUUUUUAAUAGUGUGCUUUAUAUGCACAGGUCUUGGAAACGUCACAUCAAGUUGGAAGAAUUUCUGUCUCAACUGCACCUGAUGUGCCUUACAAGGAAAUGGCCCGCCACUGUGAGGCACUACUCAUGGGAAAGCAGCAGAAGAUGUCUAAUGUGAUGAUUAUCCAACAGAAACAGGAAAGUGGGAAGAACUUUACUUUACAAAUUCAUGAGCCUGAGGUGAAGAAUAUGUCAUCCUAUCCCCAGGUUGAUGUGGGUUAUUAUGGGGUACUUUCUUUUUCUAGUAAACUUGAAUUUAGCACGUACUUGCAUGAUAUUUGAACCGUGCAACAUACAUCUCUAGUUGGGACUAGGUUGUGUUGUAUGCAUAUGUACUUUUCUUGUUUCCCAUUUGCAUGCAAAUAUAUUAGAAGUCUUAAGAAGGUGCAAGUUUGGGCUUAAAGGUCUUAAAGCAUUGCCUAAUGCCUUCAUUCAAGUGAAGCUUCUAACAUUGUGGACUCAAAUGAAAUGCAGGCUGGCAAUCCUUUCCUUGACCAAAACUUUGUUGCCAAUUCAGGCCAACCAACCCCUGGUCCUGUUCCGAUGCUGUGUGCAGCAGAAUACCAGCAUCAUCCCCACUUGUUCAGACUACCGGCAUCAAGUCCAUUUGAUAACUUUCUAAAAGCUGCUGGCUGUUGAGUGUCUUGAAGUGUAAAGACACAUUUUGGUGGGUUAGAUGAGAAAAACAUCAAUACUCAAGUGAGCUCUUGGUCUUAAACUCAAUGGCUUGGCUUCCCAUCCCACCUAUGGGUAUCCAGUCCAUCUCACUUCUUACUCUACAGCCUGUGAUUGCUUCUUAGUAUGUUGCAGAAUCACUGUUUGUAAUUAGCAUUUACUGAGGUUGUUACUUGUUCACAUCCUAUUCUUUAAUUGCUAUCCAUUUUAUUUUUAUAGAUGUCCAGAUUCAGGAUGAGGUCUUCUUCUUGCUUCUUCACCUCCCUAGGUAUGAUGAGUUUCAAAGCUGUGGUUGACAGUUUCUUGUUCCAACAAGUUGAAUUCUUUGCCUACAAUGUAAAAAUUAAAAAAGAUCCGUCAAUUUGGUUUACGUAGAGUUCAGCUUGAUUAUAGAAUAUAUAUGUAUAAUUUUUUUGGGAUAUAAAACCCAUCUCUCAAAGUAAACUCUGGCUUCAAUUCUACUACUAUAUAGAAGGGAAGAAAUUUUAUUUUUAAUUGGAUUGUAAGAUUCUUUAUUAUUGUUAUUACAAUUUUUUUGAACUAGUGCAAUGGAUAAAAUAUUGCAUUAUGAUUGUUAUUAUAGCUCAUGUCAUAUUAUUGCAAAAUAGAAAAAGAGAUUGUGAUAAAAGGUAGGAAAAGGUAGGGGCAAACCUAGGGCUCCUGUUGCUCCUCCACAAUGACAACGUCAGAUUGCUGGGCUGGAGUUAGUUGUAAGGUGAUGGGUAUAGUAUGUUUAGUAAAGCCCAGACAAGUUCAAGUUCCUUUCCGGAAGCCCAAAUAUGGCCAACCAGCCUGAAGAUACCAGGCUUGAAUAUAAUGAUAAAAAUGAGCCUCAACCAUAACCUCAAAAGAAGAAUGGAUACAGCCUUAAUUAAUUCUUGCCUUGGUGAAGAAGAACCGCAACCCAGUGGAGUGACUGGAGAGAUUAUACCCAGUGGAUGUGAUGUCCAAUUGUCACCGCUUUUUUAUUUUUUAAACUGUUUUUCAACACAUAGAUGAAAUUAAAUAGAGAGUAGGUAGGGCUCAAAGUAAGAGCAUCUACAGCAGUGGAUCUAUAAUUUUAGCUAUUUAACACCAAUAAAAGUUACUUUAUCUAUUUUACCUACACACAUGCUACAACAGUGGAUCUAUUUUAGCUUUUAACACAAUAAAAUAAUAUAACCCUUACAAUAAAAUAAUAUAUCUCACUAUCCAAAAAAACAUUCACAGCAUCAUCCACAACCACCACUCUACUUUGGCAACCACAACACAACAUAGAAAAAAAAAAAAAAAAAANCCCAAAAAAAAAAAAAAAAAAAAAAAAAAAAAAAAACCGAAACCACGACCACGACCACAAUCACAACUCCAUCGCCACCAAUCACCACAAACCACCAACCAUGACAACCACAACCACAACCCACUACCAUUGCCACAACCACAACCAUAAACCACAAAACUCAUAGCCAAAAUCCACAAAACCCACUCCAAAAGCCAAAAUCAUCCACUACCACUACCAUAGCCAAAAUCAACAACUACCACCACCACCACAGCCACCAAACUCAUAUGAAAAUACAUAUAUAUAUAUAUAUAUAUAAACUCAAUCAUAGCAAAGAGAAUAGAGAGAUGGGCAGUAGCAGUGGCUUGCGGCGUGGGUCUGAGGCAGAUGAUGGCGUGGGUCUGAGGCUGAUCGGCGGCGGUGAACGAAGGAGCUUUAGUGAUGUCGAGCUUUGGUGACGUCGUGGAUGAGGAUGAGUCGAGCUUCGUGGGUUGGUGUCUGGAGUUGAGAGAGUGAGACCAGAGUUGAGAGAGUGAGCUUGAGAGAGAUGAGCUUGAGAGAUGAGAUGAGAGUGAAUGAGAGAGAGAGAGAGGCAUAGUGUGAAAGAAUGAAAAAAAAAAAGAAAAAAGGAGCAAGUGUAUUAUUUUAAUCACCGGCAGAAAAAUUUAUUUUUUUGCUCUCAACUACAGUGCACAUCUAUAUAUAGAUGUGCACUAUAGCAAAUCAGCUAAAAAAAAUAAGUAUAACUUCACUGUUGGAGCUUGCCUUUUGUGUGUGAGGAGCUAAAAUAUACUAAUAUAAUUUUUUAGCACCAUUGCUAUAAGUGUUCUAAAACUAGUUCCUUAAAAGAAAAGAAAAAUGUAAAACCUAAACCGGAUAUGUGAUCUAGGUCCUGGUCUGGGCCAGGCCCAGCGGUUUACAAAUUACAAGUUGCAAAUUACAAAAUACUAGUUUUUCUUUUUGGCGGUAGAAACUAGAAAGUGGAGAGCAUUAUAAAACCAUAUAUAUAUAUAUAUAUAUUGGUAAAGGUGUCAUCGAAACGAAUUCAGGAAGCUUCAAGAAUCAUCAACAGGAGUCAGGAACAGGAACACCGAAACGCCAAGUGCUGUAGUGUGCUGGUCAGUUCUCUUUCUCUUCCAUAUCUUCUUUUAUCUUUAUGUAUGGUCUGUUUGUUUGAAUAAUCUUAACUCUUAUGGCUUAUGCUCUCUGUUUGAACAAUUUUAAUUUUAAUAGUAAUAAUAAUAAGAAAAAUCAUCUUAAUUCCAUUCCAUUCCUGGGAAGUGUAGGGUUCCAAUUUCUCAAUUAAGAUUUGUCUUUUUUGUUUGUAUGGUUGCGACUCCAUGAUGUUUCAUCUGUUGCAGAAUUGAACUUAAUAAAUACAAGGUUUUUACAUUUCAAGUUUUAAUUACAAAAGGUUUAGCUCUCAUUCUCUCUCUCUCUCUCUCUCUCUCAAACUCUACUAAACUUUAGUUGGGAGGUAGUGAAUUAUUUCUUUGCUUAUUAUGAUGAAAUUCGAGUGUUAAUUAUUAGACUCUCAAACUCUAAUAUAUUAAUUAAGUUAUUUAAUUAGUUUGAAAUGGAAAUGGAUGCAGUUUGAAGAUGGGUGGUGCAGCCAAGUACAUCAUAUCUGCAGUUUUGGGAUCCUUUGCAAUUUCAUUUGCAUUCGACCAUAUUGUUGCUGACAAGAAGAUUUUUGGAGGCAAGUGCUUUUCUUUCUCAACUCCCCUCCACUCCACUCCGCUCAACUGCUAAAAAAAGUAACUACCCUACCACAUGCACAUCACAUAAGACCAUUAGAGUAGUAGUCCUUAAGAAAAAAGACUACAAACGAAACACCCAGCCAAUUGAAGACUAAACACAGGAGGAGUGCGUGUAGCUUUAGUUUUUUGACAGGAAGGGAAGCUCCUCCAAUUCACCAGUUUAAUUAUAUAUGUUCAACUACUGCAUCUCGUGGUUUAAAUUAAAAUUAAUACCAUUAGUUGAUUUAUUUUUCCAUUAAUUCAUUUUCAGGAACUACCCCAAAAACUGUUGCAAACAAGGAAUGGUGGGAAGAAACUGACAGGAAAUUCCAGGCAUGGCCUCGCACUGCAGGUCCACCUGUGGUAAUGAAUCCCAUCAGCCGCCAGAACUUCAUUGUCAAGUCCCGCACUACUGAAUCUUGA